rnacentral:rRNA from 1 species
GACGAACGCUGGCGGCGUGCCUAAUACAUGCAAGUAGGACGCAGUUGCGAACGGGUGCGUAACGCGUAGGUAACUACCUAUUAGAGGGGGAUAACUAUUGGAAACGAUAGCUAAUACCGCAUACUAGUAGAUGGACCUUCGUUGGAUUAGCUAGUAGGUAGGGUAAUGGACUACCUAGGCAACGAUACAUAGCCGACCUGGGAGGGUGAGCGGCAACACUGGGACGUAGACACGGCGCAGACUCCGACGGGAGGCAGCAGUAGGGAAUCUUCGGCAAUGGGUGGAACCCCGACCGAGCAACGCGGCGUGAGUGAAUAAGUUUUUCGGAUCGUAAAGCUCUGUUGUUAAGGAAGCGGUACUUAACCAGAAAGGGACGUCUAACUACGUGCCAGCAGCCGCGGUAAUUC